rnacentral:rRNA from 1 species
UACGUAGGGUGCGAGCGUUAAUCGGAAUUACUGGGCGUAAAGCGUGCGCAGGCGGUUAUGUAAGACAGAUGUGAAAUCCCUGGGCUCAACCUAGGAACUGCGUUUGUGACUGCACAACUGGAGUGUAGCAGAGGGGGGUGGAAUUCCACGUGUAGCAGUGAAAUGCGUAGAUAUGUGGAGGAACACCGAUGGCGAAGGCAGCCCCCUGGGUUAACACUGACGCUCAUGCACGAAAGCGUGGGGAGCAAACAGG